rnacentral:rRNA from 1 species
AGUGAACGCUGGCGGUAGGCCUAACACAUGCAAGUCGAACGGCAGCACAGUAAGAGCUUGCUCUUACGGGUGGCGAGUGGCGGACGGGUGAGGAAUACAUCGGAAUCUACUUUUUCGUGGGGGAUAACGUAGGGAAACUUACGCUAAUACCGCAUACGACCUACGGGUGAAAGCAGGGGAUCUUCGGACCUUGCGCGAUUGAAUGAGCCGAUGUCGGAUUAGCUAGUUGGCGGGGUAAAGGCCCGCCAAGGCGACGAUCCGUAGCUGGUCUGAGAGGAUGAUCAGCCACACUGGAACUGAGACACGGUCCAGACUCCUACGGGAGGCAGCAGUGGGGAAUAUUGGACAAUGGGCGCAAGCCUGAUCCAGCCAUACCGCGUGGGUGAAGAAGGCCUUCGGGUUGUAAAGCCCUUUUGUUGGGAAAGAAAAGCGGCAGGUUAAUACCCCGCUGUUCUGACGGUACCCAAAGAAUAAGCACCGGCUAACUUCGUG